GGUGCCCAGCGGGGGGAUGUGCGUGCUGAGGGUGGGCAGAGCCGCGUGGCCCAGGUGCAGGCCGGCCGAGCCGAGCCCCAGCCCCAGCCAAAGCAGCUGAAGUGGCAGCAGCCCAGGACCGGAGUGAGGAAGCAGGGCAUCGGGAGAGCCUGCAGCCGAGGCGUACCGCGCUCCGGUGUCGGAAGGGGAGACGCUCCCGAGCAUCUCUGCAGCGCCGGGAAUCCUGCGCAGCUCCAGCACCUGGAGAGACACCGCAGCCUCGACACGAGGACCUGGCAUUCCCGCCACAGCAGUCCGGGAAAACAGGACAAUAUCCUGGGGGUCUGUCCGCUCGCCGGCCUCUCCGGCAGGAAAAGAGUCUGACCAACAGCAAAAACAACUGAACAGAAACUGCAAACUGCUGCUCGGGUGUGAGCACCGCUCUUUGUGAAACAACAGCUGGAAAAGCCUGGAAUUAAAAUCUCGAUGUUCCUA